CAGCUCACUAUCAAGUUCAAAUAAUUAAGCCAAGCCAGGCAGUAGGCAUCACGUUGUUUUAGUUAUUUGCAAUGCUUUUGAAAUUAGUAGAACGUUGAAAUAUUUUCACGUAUAGAAUGGAAUAGGUUUAUUAAUUUGGGUAUGAACUCCGGUCAAUGGAAUAGCCUUUGUUUUUUUAUGUUGGAAUAAUAAGCCUCAAAAUUGAGAAGUUCUAAUGAUGAAUAUGUCAUCGAGUGUCAAGAAUAAAAGUUGGUAGUUCUAAUAAGAAUGUUGGAGAUAUUGGGCUUUUUAAGUGUUAGGAAGAAAUUAGGAGGCAAUCAGCUAUAGAUUUGAUAUUACAAUUUUUAUACCUACUAACUCAUAUAAUUUAAGUAGGUCCCGUCCUCUUGAAAAGAAAGACGCUUAUUAGGUAAUCCAACCUGUGACUCAACCUCUUUUUAAAGUAUGGAGGCUAUAUGGUUAAUUUCGUGUUUCCCAAAUCAAAUGAUAGAUAUGUCUUAUUCACUAGUUUUCAUUUUUUUCAGGUGUGCGCACAACACCGCGUUACUUAGUUCAACCAAUGAAUUCAUUUUUCUUUUCUUUUUUUAUAGGUAGAUAAUAUACAUAUUAUGCAAAUAAUAUACUUUUAAAAAAAUAUCAGCAUCUCUGAUUUAAAAUAUACUAAUUUUCAUAGGUAGGUAUAGGUAAAUCCAAUGUGUAAUUACUUAAUAAAGACAUUAAAUAUCGUG